rnacentral:rRNA from 1 species
AGCGAACGCUGGCGGCAGGCCUAAAACAUGCAAGUCGAACGGAUCCUUCGGGAUUAGUGGCGGACGGGUGAGUAACACGUGGGAACGUGCCUUUUGGUUCGGAACAACUCAGGGAAACUUGAGCUAAUACCGAAUGUGCCCUUCGGGGAAAGAUUUAUCGCCAUUAGAGCGGCCCGCGUCUGAUUAGCUUGUUGGUGAGGUAAAGGCUCACCAAGGCGACGAUCAGUAGCUGGUCUGAGAGGAUGAUCAGCCACACUGGGACUGAGACACGGCCCAGACUCCUACGGGAGGCAGCAGUUAGGAAUCUUGCGCAAUGGGGGAAACCCUGACGCAGCCAUGCCGCGUGAAUGAUGAAGGUCUUAGGAUUGUAAAAUUCUUUCAGCGGGGACGAUAAUGACGGUACCCGCAGAAGAAGCCCCGGCUAAACUUCGUGCCAGCAGCCGCGGUAAU